rnacentral:rRNA from 1 species
GCUCCCUGGUUGAUCCUGCCAGUAGUCAUAUGCUUGUCUCAAAGAUUAAGCCAUGCAUGUCUCAGUGCAAGCCGAAGUAAGGUGAAACCGCGAAUGGCUCAUUAAAUCAGUUAUGGUUCCUUUGAUGGUGGACAGUUACUUGGAUAACUGUGGCAAUUCUAGAGCUAAUACAUGCAACCGAGUCCCGACCGGCAACGGGAGGGACGCACUUAUUAGAUCAAAACCAAUCGGGCGCUCGCGUCCGUUGGCCUUGGUGACUCUGAAUAAGCUGUGGCGGAUCGCACGGUCUCCGAACCGGCGACGCAUCUUUCAAAUGUCUGCCUUAUCAACUGUCGAUGGUAGGUUCUGCGCCUACCAUGGUCGUAACGGGUGACGGGGAAUCAGGGUUCGAUUCCGGAGAGGGAGCCUGAGAAACGGCUACCACAUCCAAGGAAGGCAGCAGGCGCGCAAAUUACCCACUCCCGGCACGGGGAGGUAGUGACGAAAAAUAACGAUACGGGACUCAUCCGAGGCCCCGUAAUCGGAAUGAGAACACUUUAAAUCCUUUACCGAGGAACGAUUGGAGGGAAAGUCUGGUGCCAGCAGCCGCGGUAAUUCCAGCUCCAAUAGCGUAUAUUAAAGUUGUUGCGGUUAAAAAGCUCGUAGUCUGACUUGUGUCGCACCCUGCCGGUUCACGGUCCGUCCGUGUUCAACUGGCAUGCUAGGUGACGACGUCCUGCCGGUGGCCCGACCCGGCCCGGGGCGGUGCGGCGCGACCUCUCGCUUUUUCAACGAAGCGGGCGGCCGCCGCGCUCCCGGUCCCGGCGAGGGCCUGCUUCAUACCCGUCGCGGGUGCUCUUAACCGAGUGUCUCGAUGGGCCGGCACGUUUACUUUGAACAAAUUAGAGUGCUUAAAGCAGGCAGUCCCCGCCUGAAUACAGAGUGCAUGGAAUAAUGGAAUAGGACCUCGGUUCUAUUUUGUUGGUUUUCGGAAUCCCCGAGGUAAUGAUCAAUAGGGACAGACGGGGGCAUUCGUAUUGCGACGUUAGAGGUGAAAUUCUUGGAUCGUCGCAGGACGGACCGAAGCGAAAGCAUUUGCCAAGAAUGUUUUCUCUGAUCAAGAACGACAGUCAGAGGUUCGAAGGCGAUCAGAUACCGCCCUAGUUCUGACCAUAAACGAUGCCAGCCAGCAAUCCGCCGAAGUUCCUCCGAUGACUCGGCGGGCGGCUUCCGGGAAACCAAAGCUUUUGGGUUCCGGGGGAAGUAUGGUUGCAAAGCUGAAACUUAAAGGAAUUGACGGAAGGGCACCACCAGGACUGGAGCCUGCGGCUUAAUUUGACUCAACACGGGGAACCUCACCAGGCCCGGACACCGGGAGGAUUGACAGAUUGAGAGCUCUUUCUUGAUUCGGUGGGUGGUGGUGCAUGGCCGUUCUUAGUUCGUGAAUUGAUUUGUCUGGUUAAUUCCGAUAACCGAACGAGACUCUAGCCUGCUAACUAGUCGUUUCGGUAUCCUCUGCGCUACCGGCGACUCCUGAUCUUCUUAGAGGGACGGGCGGCUUUCAGCCGCACGAGAUUGAGCAAUAACAGGUCUGUGAUGCCCUUAGAUGCCCUGGGCAGCACGCGCGCUACACUGAAGGAAUCAGCGUGUCGUUUCCCUGUCCGAAAGGUCCGGGUAACCCGCUGAAUCUCCUUCGUGCUAGGGAUUGGGGUUUGCAAUUUUUCCCCAUGAACGAGGAACUCCCAGUAAGCGCGAGUCAUCAGCUCGCGCUGAUUACGUCCCUGCCCUUUGUACACACCGCCCGUCGCUACUACCGAUUGAAUCGUCAAGCGAGGUCUUCGGACCGCCGGGCGGGGCGGCGACGCCUCGAUGCCGGUGGGAAGAUGCCCAAACUUGAUAAUUUAGAGGAAGUAAAAGUCGUAACAAGGUUACCGUAGGUGAACCUGUGGUAGGAUCAUUA